rnacentral:lncRNA from 1 species
GAUUAGUCAGAAGAAGGAAAGGAUUUUUGUUAAUAGGUGGUGUUAUAUGGUGUAUGUUGUGAGGGUAGGAAAGUUGGAAAUUUUUAUGGUGAGGGAGGUUGGGAAAUUACUGGUGGAAUGAUGGUUGUGUGUUUUGGAUAGGCCGGUGUAAUGUUGGCUAGUUCUGGGAUUUUUUCGAUGUGAGGUGUUUGAUAUAUGUUGUUUGUGUGAUGGGGUUGUGAUGGGUUUUGUGGGAUUGUAUGCUGGAGUGAAAUCAGGACAGGGUUUCCUGCAGAACUACUAUUGUAGACUGUUGCUGGAGUGAAGUCAUAAAGGAGGUGGU